GCGAUCCUUAUUUCGGUAUGCAAAAGGCAGCAGUACCGAGCGCCACAGAAAAGUCCCUAAGAAUUUGCAGGGCGUGGCGUCUGCCGCGCCGAGCGAGCCCCCGCCACCGCGGGGCUGCGCCUCCAGGGCGUGCGGCCCCGCCAUCUAGCGGCGCCGCGAGGAAGCGCACGCCCAGGGCCGGGACGGGCAGAAGGGGACCCGGCCUCUUGGGUGGGGGACAAUUCAAAUGUCCCUUGAGCAUAGGCCAGGAAUGUCUCCAGUGUAGAAAACAGCCGGGACGGCCGACACACGGGGAGACUCCUUUGAGCUCGUCGUAUCCCGGCAUUUAACUCUACCUACUACGCACGAGGAUGCUGCUUUGCCACUGCAUGGCCAAAAGGGUCUGGACUCAACAUCAAGUGCACAGGUCGAACACGAUGGGCUGACCAACUGCAGGGAAUGCUCUUGACCCAACCUCAGGGCCAGCGCUCCACUCGGUGAUUGAGGCUUCUUGGUUCGAAGCCUUAGAAACUUAAGCCCCAACGCCUAGAUCCUCCUGAAUAAAAGUGACUCGUGCACAC